rnacentral:rRNA from 1 species
CCUACGGGUGGCUGCAGUGGGGAAUAUUGCACAAUGGGCGCAAGCCUGAUGCAGCCAUGCCGCGUGUGUGAAGAAGGCCUUCGGGUUGUAAAGCACUUUCAGCGGGGAGGAAGGCGGUGAGGUUAAUAACCCCAUCGAUUGACGUUACCCGCAGAAGAAGCACCGGCUAACUCCGUGCCAGCAGCCGCGGUAAUACGGAGGGUGCAAGCGUUAAUCGGAAUUACUGGGCGUAAAGCGCACGCAGGCGGUCUGUCAAGUCGGAUGUGAAAUCCCCGGGCUCAACCUGGGAACUGCAUUCGAAACUGGCAGGCUAGAGUCUUGUAGAGGGGGGUAGAAUUCCAGGUGUAGCGGUGAAAUGCGUAGAGACCUGGAGGAAUACCGGUGGCGAAGGCGGCCCCCUGGACAAAGACUGACGCUCAGGUGCGAAAGCGUGGGGAGCAAACAGGAUUAGAACCCGAGUAGUC